GUCCCGGUAGCUCAGUUGGUAGAGCACCUGCACGUGAUGAGCGAAAGCCAGGAGGUCGCAGGAUCUAAGCCUGCCUGCCCGGGAUU